rnacentral:lncRNA from 1 species
UGAGCUAAAUAUGGGUGUUAUGGUCAGUUGCUAUUCUAUAUAAGUUUCUAGACAACGUAAGUGAUUUGUAGUAAGAUACGGGCGGAGGCCAGCAGUAACUGUUUAACCAGUGUUGGAAGAGGAUGUGUAGACCAGUGUGGUUGACCAGCGGGUGGUAAAUUCUUCACCUGCUACACGUCUCCAACCCAGGGUGUCGACUGGAUAGUCUUCAACUGCCUCCCACCAUGAUAAGCUCCCGAGCCAAUGUUCCCUGUGGCGAAGUGAGGAAGUAGUUUCCUGAAGUAGCAUAUGGCAUGGUAUGGCACCGUUUCUAACCAGCGGCUGGCACCAACUCUGGCAAACGUCGUAGUGGAUGACGCCCAGAUCCUAUGGGGGAAGUCUACAUUAACAUGGAAAAGAUAUCAAGUUGGCUGGAACAGAUGGUAGUUUUCUACUGUGCCAAUUGUGGGCUGUAUGAAUAGGAGCAACAUCUGCAAAAUUCCAAUCUAGGUGGUAAUGAUUACAAUGGUAUCAAAGCAUUGACUGGCUAAAGAAAUGUGACUGUUCUAUUCUGCCCAUCUGAAGCUGAUUGUGGAGGGUCCUUCCAACAUAACUUCAGGAACAGUGUACAGAACAACUGCCGGAAGUUACAUGCUACAGAAAGUAGCCCGGGUGUCAAAAUUAGAGGGCAAAAGUUUUUAUAGACUACAAUGGUAUCCAAGCUUUGACUGGCUUAAGAAGUGUGGCUGUUUUACUCUGCACAUCUAUUAAGCUGGUUGUAGAGGGUCCUUCCAACAAAACUUCAGGAACAGUGUACAGAACAAAUGGCAAAAGUUGUGCUACAGAAAGUAGCACGGUUGAAAGAAUUAAGAUGGGAAAAAAUAUGGAUUGGGACGUCUAGAAUGUCAUCUUGGAGUUUGAAGGUGUUGCUUGUUUGACAUUCAGAAUCAGGUGUUAAUGAAGAUAACUGGUAUCAAAGUAUUGAGGCUGUUCUACUCUGCACAUCUAAUAAACUGGUGGAUGUUGUCCUUGGUACUCUGGAGUUUUCCCUGGCCUUUUGAUGAUCUUUUGGAGUCUUCAGUGGAUUGCAUCUAGGAGGAGCAGCUUCCCACAACCUGAAAUGGACAAUAGUCAACAUUAGAUGUUACACUGUAUACUAUGCAAUAAAUAUUCUAAUGAAACUA